rnacentral:rRNA from 1 species
CCUACGGGUGGCAGCAGUGGGGAAUAUUGCGCAAUGGGCGAAAGCCUGACGCAGCAACGCCGCGUGAGGGAUGACGGCCUUCGGGUUGUAAACCUCUUUCAGCAGGGAAGAAGCGAAAGUGACGGUACCUGCAGAAGAAGCACCGGCUAACUACGUGCCAGCAGCCGCGGUAAUACGUAGGGUGCAAGCGUUGUCCGGAUUUAUUGGGCGUAAAGAGCUCGUAGGCGGUUAGUCACGUCGGAUGUGAAAAUCCGGAGCUUAACUCCGGACCUGCAUUCGAUACGGGCUGACUCGAGUGUUGUAGGGGAGACUGGAACUCCUGGUGUAGCGGUGAAAUGCGCAGAUAUCAGGAAGAACACCGAUGGCGAAGGCAGGUCUCUGGGCAACGACUGACGCUGAGGAGCGAAAGCGUGGGGAGCAAACAGGAUUAGAUACCCCAGUAGUC